CGCUGGCGGUCUGCUUAACACAUGCAAGUCGAACGAAGUCUUAGGACUGAGUGGCGGACGGGUGAGUAACACGUGAGAAUCUGCCUUCAGGUCGGGGAUAACAGUUGGAAACGACUGCUAAUACCGGAUGUGCCCUUGGGUAAAAGAUUUAUUGCCUGGAGAUGAGCUCGCGUCUGAUUAGCUAGUUGGUGGGGUAAAAGCCUACCAAGGCGACGAUCAGUAGCUGGUCUGAGAGGAUGAGCAGCCACACUGGGACUGAGACACGGCCCAGACUCCUACGGGAGGCAGCAGUGGGGAAUUUUCCGCAAUGGGCGAAAGCCUGACGGAGCAAGACCGCGUGAGGGAGGAAGGCCUUUGGGUUGUAAACCUCUUUUGUCAGGGAAGAAGUUAUGACGGUACCUGACGAAUAAGCCUCGGCUAACUCCGUGCCAGCAGCCGCGGUAAUACGGAGGAGGCAAGCGUUAUCCGGAAUCAUUGGGCGUAAAGCGUCCGUAGGUGGCGAAGUAAGUCUGCUGUCAAAGACCACAGCUUAACUGUGGAAAGGCAGUGGAAACUGCGGCGCUAAAGUGCGGUAGGGGUAUAGGGAAUUCCACGUGUAGCGGUGAAAUGCG
rnacentral:rRNA from 1 species